GUGUCAUCUUAGUAUUUACAACCAUCAGUUAGGAUUACAUUGACAGCAUCUAGUGGGAGGGAGAGUCCACUAGACCCCAUGGCUGGAAAUCUGAAGAAAGAAAGCUGGCAUGCGUUAUAAAAUCACAAGAAUAGCCAGCACCAUCUCCACAGGCUGUGGAACCCCGCGCGAUACCAAGGGGAUUGGAGCAAGCAAGUUACACUCUCUGCUUCUCUUUCUAAGAAGCAUCACUCUGGCUGCUGAGUGGAAAGGAGAUUUUAAGACUGCUGUUGGGGAAGGAGGAAGACCAGUUGGGAGGCU
rnacentral:lncRNA from 10 species